UAGGGACAGCUCCUGCCUCCUGGUGGCA
rnacentral:piRNA from 1 species